AGUGAACGCUGGCGGUAGGCCUAACACAUGCAAGUCGAACGGCAGCACAGUAAGAGCUUGCUCUUACGGGUGGCGAGUGGCGGACGGGUGAGGAAUACAUCGGAAUCUACUUUUUCGUGGGGGAUAACGUAGGGAAACUUACGCUAAUACCGCAUACGACCUCCGGGUGAAAGCAGGGGAUCUUCGGACCUUGCGCGAUUGAAUGAGCCGAGGUCGGAUUAGCUCGUUGGCGGGGUAAAGGCCCACCAAGGCGACGAUCCGUAGCUGGUCUGAGAGGAUGAUCAGCCACACUGGAACUGAGACACGGUCCAGACUCCUACGGGAGGCAGCAGUGGGGAAUAUUGGACAAUGGGCGCAAGCCUGAUCCAGCCAUACCGCGUGGGUGAAGAAGGCCUUCGGGUUGUAAAGCCCUUUUGUUGGGAAAGAAAAGCAGCAGGUUAAUACCCCGCUGUUCUGACGGUACCCAAAGAAUAAGCACCGGCUAACUUCGUG
rnacentral:rRNA from 1 species